UACGUAGGGGGCAAGCGUUGUCCGGAUUUAUUGGGCGUAAAGAGCGUGUAGGCGGCCUGAAAGGUCAGCUGUGAAAACUCGAGGCUCAACCUCGAGACGUCGGUUGAAACCAUCUGGCUAGAGUCCGGAAGAGGAGAGUGGAAUUCCCGGUGUAGCGGUGAAAUGCGCAGAUAUCGGGAAGAACACCCGUGGCGAAGGCGGUUCUCUGGGCAUUACCUGACGCUGAGGAGCGAAAGUGUGGGGAGCGAACAGG
rnacentral:rRNA from 1 species